rnacentral:rRNA from 1 species
CCUACGGGUGGCAGUGGGAAUAUUGGACAAUGGGGGCAACCCUGAUCCAGCCAUGCCGCGUGUGUGAAGAAGGCCCUCGGGUUGUAAAGCACUUUCAGUGAGGAAGAACGCCUGGUGGUUAAUACCCAUCAGGAAAGACAUCACUCACAGAAGAAGCACCGGCUAACUCCGUGCCAGCAGCCGCGGUAAUACGGAGGGUGCGAGCGUUAAUCGGAAUUACUGGGCGUAAAGCGCGCGUAGGUGGCUUGAUAAGCCGGUUGUGAAAGCCCCGGGCUCAACCUGGGAACGGCAUCCGGAACUGUCAAGCUAGAGUGCAGGAGAGGAAGGUAGAAUUCCCGGUGUAGCGGUGAAAUGCGUAGAGAUCGGGAGGAAUACCAGUGGCGAAGGCGGCCUUCUGGACUGACACUGACACUGAGGUGCGAAAGCGUGGGUAGCAAACAGGAUUAGAUACCCCAGUAGUC